rnacentral:rRNA from 1 species
CAGAUGUGAAAGACCCGGGGCGUCAACCUCCGGAAUAGCAUUUGAAACUAGGCAAACUAGAGUACUGUAGAGGGGGGUAGGAAUUUCAGGUGUAGCGGUGAAAUAGCGUAGAGAUCUGAAGGAAUACCGGUGGCGAAGGCGGCCCCCUCGGACAGAUACUGACACUCAGAUGCGAAAGCGUGGGGAGCAAACAGGAUUAGAUACCCUGGUAG